AGAGUUUGAUCAUGGCUCAGAAUGAACGCUGGCGGCGUGCCUAACACAUGCAAGUCGAGCGCGCCCCUCUUCGGGGGGGCGAGCGGCGCACGGGUGAGUAACGCGUGGGAACCUACCUUUGGGUUCGGGACAACGGCCGGAAACGGCCGCUGACACCGGAUACGGCCGCCCGCGAGGGUGGCGAAAGGCUACGCCCAAAGACGGGCCCGCGUCCGAUUAGCUUGGUGGUGGGGUAACGGCCCACCAAGGCUGCGAUCGGUAGCCGGUCUGAGAGGAUGAUCGGCCACACUGGGACUGAGACACGGCCCAGACUCCUACGGGAGGCAGCAGUGGGGAAUAUUGGACAAUGGGCGAAAGCCUGAUCCAGCAAUGCCGCGUGGGUGAAGAAGGCCUUCGGGUUGUAAAGCCCUUUUACCCGGGAAGAUAAUGACUGUACCGGGAGAAUAAGCCCCGGCUAACUCCGUGCCAGCCGCCGCGGUAAUAC
rnacentral:rRNA from 1 species